rnacentral:rRNA from 1 species
CAGUCGCCGCGGUAAUACGUAGGGUGCGAGCGUUAAUCGGAAUUACUGGGCGUAAAGCGCACGCAGGCGGUCUGUCAAGUCGGAUGUGAAAUCCCCGGGCUCAACCUGGGAACUGCAUUCGAAACUGGCAGGCUAGAGUCUUGUAGAGGGGGGUAGAAUUCCAGGUGUAGCGGUGAAAUGCGUAGAGAUCUGGAGGAAUACCGGUGGCGAAGGCGGCCCCCUGGACAAAGACUGACGCUCAGGUGCGAAAGCGUGGGGAGCAAACAGGAUUAGAUACCCCUGUAGUCCCUGUCUCUUAUAA